rnacentral:lncRNA from 1 species
GACUUUAUCCAGUCAUGUUUGGUUUCCUUGCAAUCAACUGUUUGUUUGGACUACAACCAAAAAGGAUGGGUCAUUUUGCGGGACACAUUGACCCGGAAAACCGAUUGAAAGACAACAAGUGAGGAGCCCAUUGUGCACCAAUUAUAGGACCACUGUCUCGUUGAUUGACUCUAUUUUAACCCAAUGACCACUGAUCUUCUUGAAAUCUAGCUGGGUAGAUAGCCAAUGAGCAGAGGUAAAAGGCAGUACCACAUGGUUCUUUGUUGUAAGACAAAACCUAUACAUUGAACGCUGGCCUAAGGACCGUCCUUUCGCCAUUGCAAAUUCAACCGCGAAGGAGCGAAGCUUAUUUGCACGGACGGUUUUCAGUGACCUGCUUCUUCAGCUGUUUAUUUAUCGAAUAUCAUGGCAAAUAAGUCAAAGAAAGCAACUUCUAAGACUAGAUAUACGAAUGUAGAAACCAGUGAGAGUGAGACAGAUCUGAUUUUUGAAGACUCCAUUAGCUCCCAUAGUUUUGAUUCUGAAACUGAGGAAUAUUUUUUGAACGGAGAGGACAUUGUUUUGGACUGUGGCACUGACCCCAACUGGGAGCCCCCAGUGCCAACUUGUCCAUCCCCCUCUGAAGCUGGUUCAUCCAGCUGUACCCCUGCUGUCUCUGGCUCCACACCUCCCGGGCCGUCUAGAGGACCGACAAAGAAGAGGAAGAGGGGAAGUGUGCCAUCCACUAACAGAGGGACAGAAUGGCGUUGGCACACCGUCCUAGAAGACGAUGUGGAGCCACCCCAACCAACCUUUAGGCCGAAAAGGAAGCCAGGACCUCAGGUGAGUAUGACUUCAACUUACAGCCCCCUUCAGCUUUUUCAGCUGUUUUUCACCCAAUCCGUUUGUAGAUUCGCUCGUUUGUAACACGAAUAAGUGGGAAGAAGAAGCAAGCAGAAAAAAAGGCAGCAUGGAAGCCCAUAUCCAUGUCAGACCUUUUCUGCUACCUUUCACUGGUCAUCUACAUGGGGCUGGUGAGGCUGAAAAGCCUGAAGGACUACUGGAAAACGUCAUCUCUCUACCAACUGCCUUUCCCCAUGACUAUUAUGUCCUGCAAAAGGUUUCUGGUUAUUUCACAGGCGCUUAA